rnacentral:rRNA from 1 species
AUUGAACGCUGGCGGCAUGCUUUACACAUGCAAGUCGAACGGUAACAGGCCGCAAGGUGCUGACGAGUGGCGAACGGGUGAGUAAUGCAUCGGAACGUGCCCAGUCGUGGGGGAUAACGCAGCGACAGCUGCGCUAAUACCGCAUACGAUCUGUGGAUGAAAGCGGGGGACCGGAAGGCCUCGCGCGAUUGGAGCGGCCGAUGUCAGAUUAGGUAGUUGGUGGGGUAAAGGAUCACCAAGCCAACGAUCUGUAGAUGGUCUGAGAGGACGACCAUCCACACUGGAGCUGAGACACGGCCCAGACUCCUACGGGAGGCAGCAGUGGGGAAUGUUGGACAAGGGGCGCAAGCCUGAUCCAUCAAUGCCGCGUGCAGGAAGAAUGCCUUCGGGUUGUAAACUGCUUUUGUACGGAACGAAACGGUCCUGGUUAAUACCUGGGGCUAAUGACGGUACCGUAAGAAUAAGCACCGGCUAACUACGUGCCAGCAGCCGCCGUAACAC